AAGGCCGGGAAGGCGCGCCUGAUGAGCACGCCGCGUGAGUGAUGUGGCCUUCGGAUCGUAAGCUCUGUUGCCGGGGAAGACGUGCAGAAGAGGAAAUGCCGGUGCCUUGACGGUUCCUGGCCAGAAAGCCACGGCUAACUACGUGCCAGCAGCCGCGGUAAUACGGGAGCCAGCAGCCGCGGU
rnacentral:rRNA from 1 species